AUAGCUCAGUUGGUUAGAGCACCUGACUGUUAAUCAGGGGGUCGUUGGUUCAAGUCCAUCUUG
rnacentral:tRNA from 1 species